UCGGCGAAUGCUGCGUGGAACUACAUUGUUAAUGUCGUGGUCGUGGGUUCGAUUCCCACCCCUGCAGCCUUCUGGCAGGGUAGCUCAGGGGUAGAGCACGUAUCGUUUCACCACUCCUUGUCGCCGGGGA
rnacentral:Y_RNA from 1 species